ACGCUCGACACCUACGGGGGGCAGCAGUGGGGAAUAUUGCACAAUGGGGGAAACCCUGAUGCAGCGACGCCGCGUGGAGGAAGAAGGUCUUCGGAUUGUAAACUCCUGUUGUUGGGGAAAAANAGGAUGGUACCCAACAAGGAAGUGACGGCUAACUACGUGCCAGCAGCCGCGGUAAUCUGAGCGGGCUGGCAAGGC
rnacentral:rRNA from 1 species